GUGCUCGCUUCGGCAGCACAUAUAUUAAAAUUGGAACGAUACAGAGAAGAUUAGCAUGGCCCCUUGUGCAAGGAUGACACACAAAUUCCUGAAGCGUUCCAUAUUUCA
rnacentral:snRNA from 1 species